rnacentral:piRNA from 1 species
UGGAGGAGCUAGAGAAAGUAG